UUAGAGCUUUGCUCUGGCUCAUUAUUACAUUAUUUCCUUUAACGCAUAUGCCAGCAUCCGCCAAUUUGCUAAAAGCAAUUAAAUAGCAGUGCAGAAAAUUUUGAAAUAAGUGAAAGCUUGAAAAAGAAAAGGAAAAUUAAGGGUGGAAAAUUUUGUGCCAGCAUCCGCGGUUACACAAAAACCCUAAGUGUAAUUAAUACAAAUUAUAUGGGGAAAUCUUUAAAGUUGAAUUAUAAAAGAAUCCCUAUCCCCCUAAAAGUGAAAGUUAACCUGGAGACCAGGAUUAGAUACCCUGCUACCCAUAACAUUAACCCUAAGGGCAUUAAAAGAACCCUUAAAACCUAAAGAGCUUGGCGGUUUUCCGAAUAAUCAGGGAAGCCUGUGGAAUAAACGAUAAUCCACGAAAACCACCAUUUUUAAAAGCUUGUAUACCUCCGUCCAGUUAAUCUUUAAGAGAAUUAGCGCCUAUGAGUAAUAAUACGUCAGGUCAAGGUGCAGCCUAUAAAAAGGAUUUUGAUUGGCUGCGCAUAAAAAAUAAUUUUUUUUUAAUAAAAAAGAAAUAAACAGUACUUGAAAGUAAUUUUUUUUUAAAAAGAAAAAAUGAAACUUAACCCGGGAGAUGUACAAAUCGCCCGUCGUUCCCCCCCAAAGGGGGGAAAAGUCGUAACAAAGUUGGAGUACUGGAAAGUGCCCCA
rnacentral:ncRNA from 1 species